GAAAGAAUUGAGAUUUUUUCUUUUUCUUAAUUUUCUUCUCCUAUAUAUUUUUUUUAACUUUAAUUUUCUUUUUCUGCUAUUUUUCUUUCCUUUCAUUCUUUUCUUUUUCAUCUUCCCAUGUUCUUCCUCUAUUUUUCUUCCUAAUCCGUUCUAUUAUACCCAUCUCAUCCAUAUUAUCUCCCUUCUAAGCAACAAUUAUUUCUUUGGCGAUGGCUACAGAUGCCCCAAAUAGUUCUCCAAUUCCAAAUAGCUCUCUAUCAUCAAUGAACAAUUUAGCAAUCGAUGAUGGAUCCAAUUCACAUUUUCUUCAUCAUUCGGAUAAUCAUGGCUUUGUUCUUGUUUUGCAUCAGCUAUUUGCAGACAAUAAUGUAUCUUGGAGCUGAUCAAUGAUGAUCGCUUUAUCUAUGAAAAAUAAAUUGGGGCUCAUUAAUUGAACCAUUUUGCGACCUGAUGGCAAUCAAGAGCUGUUCAAUUUGUGGAUCAGUAACAAUAGCUUGUUACUUCAUGGAUUCUCAAUUUCGUAUCCAAGGAGAUUUCGACUAGUAUCUUGUACUCUGAAUCUACCUAUGAAAUAUGGAUAGAUCUAAAGGAGCAUUAUCAAUAAAGGAAUGGUCCAUAUAUGAUAGUUUACAUUGCUUUUAUAUAUUGAAUGUGCACGUUUCAUCUUAAGAAUUAGUAUUCUCAUAUAAAAUGAGCUGUUUUCGGGUUUAUGUUUGAUUAUUUGUAAACUUUUGAAUUAUAGCUGGAAAGUUGUUUGAAGAUGCAUUUUUUCAGAAUCGAGGAAAGAAACGUCUUUUUGCUUUAGUUUUCUGUAGUUGAAAUUUCUUGAGUUCAAAUCAUUUAUGACUAUUUAUUUUCCUUUAUUUUUUGCUAUGUUAUCCUUAUGUUGUAUGUAGAAUUUUGGACUUAAUAAAUU
rnacentral:lncRNA from 1 species